rnacentral:sRNA from 1 species
AAUACAUCAAUAAAGAGUUUAAGAUGUCAAAGGUUCAUCAAAUAUACCCACCGGGCUCCGACUAAACUAUGAAAAUCCGAUGUUGUAUCAGGUCAAAUGACCUAGCUAGAGGUGUCAGAAAAUAACG